rnacentral:lncRNA from 1 species
GGGGCAAAAUCAAAAUUUUGAACUGAGGCAAAUUCGUAAUUUUGAAUAGGGGGCAAAAGCAUAGUUUUAUUUUGAACCGGGUAAAAACAUAAUUUUAAACUGAAGGCGAAAUCAUAAUUUUUGAAACGGGGCGAAAAUGCAAAGUCGUCAUUUUUAGUUUGGGGCAAAAGCAAAAAUUAUUUUGAACUGGGACCAAAAUUGUAAUUGUAAUAUGGGGAUAAAAUCAUAUUAUGAACCGAGGGCAAAAUCGUAAUUUUGAGCGAGUGAUAAAAACAUAAUUUUAUUUUGAGCUGAAGGCAAAAACGUAAUUUUAUUUUAAAUUAAGGACAAAACCGUAAUUUUUAAACGAAUAUAAAACAAUUUUAAAACGAAUAUAAAACAAUAAAGCUAUUGGUCCAAUAGGGAAGUGCGAUGCAGCUGCGUGGCACUAUUCCCCCACUUCCUUUUUGUAUAUGUAGAGAAUAGAUAGAGAGUAUAUUUUAUGUUAUUAAGAAAAGUUAAAUACAUAUAUAAUUAAAUUACCAUAACACUAAUCAGUUGCCUUGAACUACAUCUAUAGUUGAAAAAAAACUAAUGAGUUGCCGUGAAUUACUUCUAUAGUUUGAGAAAAAAAAACUGAUUAAUCGAAAAAAAUAUAACAAUACAUAUAUUACAAUACAUUCGGUUGGAUUUUGAUUACAUACAUUCAAAAUUCAGAAAACAGAAUUAACCAAACUUGAAAUAGAAUUUUGAAUAUGAUUCGGUUCAAGACUAACAAAAUAACAUUUUAAUGCUACAACAGGUAAUUAAAGUGCAAUAACAUUUAAAUGCUACUAAAGGUAAUUGAAGUGCAACAGGAUGAAUAUAUGCAUAUGAUAUUCAUGUGUGUAAGAUGUUUGGGCCCAAAUUUGGUUUACAAACUCUAAAAACAAAAUACGGUGUUUUUUUUGCUUAUAGAGAGUGCCGGUGGUGAGGAAUCAAAAAGAUUUCAACCGAAUAAUAUCGGUAUCUGUUUUGGUUUAUUCAGUCAUUACCUAUAUUCUAUUUUAUGAUUUUCGAACGAUAUAAGACACGUGUUGAUAUCCUUUUAGGAAUAUUACAACUUUGUUUUUUUUUUUUCUCUUUUUGUUGCUUAUAUCGAGCGGAGUUAAAUGUCGUUUUAGUCCAUGUGGUUUGGGUCAUUUUGUCAGUUUAGUCCAAAGGUUUGAAGCGUUGCCAUUUUAGUCCAAAUAGUUUUAAACGUUGUCAUUUUAGUCCAGUGGGUUAACUCCAUCCCUUUAUUCUGUUAACUAGAAGGCAUUUCGGCCAUUUUAUAUGUAAUUAUGUUAACUAGAAGGACAAUUCGACCAUAUAAACUGAUCGAAUUACUCUUCUAGCUAACAUAAAAAAUGGACGGAGUUAACCUGGUGGACUAAAAUGGCAACGCUUGAAACUAUUUGGACUAAAAUAGCAACGUUUCAAACAUUUGGACUAAACUGUCAAAAUAACCCAAACCACAGGGACUAAAUGACAUUUAACUCUACUGGGCGUCUAUAACGUACAUAAACCGAAACGGUAAUGUUUGAAUUUCCGCCACAACGCGCGGUGGGAUUACAAUAGUUAUAUUAAUAAUAAUUAUUAUUAUUAUAAUUAAUAUAAAUUAAUUAAUAAAUACUAAACGAGUCGAGCCCGAGCCGAGCUCGAGCUUGAAAAAUUACUUUCGAGCCGAGCUCGAACUCGAGCUUUCAUAUGUUAAACGAGCUCGAGCUCGAGCCUGAUCGAGCUCGGGCUCGACUCAACUCGUUUGCACCCCUACGCGCAAGCGUAUCGUAAAAUAUAUAUUAACAUUUAACUAGUAAAAAGGCCUACCCGUUGCACGAGACGUGUUUGGAUAGGCGUAGUGUAAGAGGUUGUUUUCACGACUUGAAACUGUGAAACUGUGGUGGUGGACGGUAGUGGUGGGUGGUUGUGUUUAACCCUCUACAGAUCUUAGAAGAUCUUAAAAGUGGUUGGGCCAAGUCUGCACCAAGAAGAGCUCACCCAGACGUUUUUAAAUGAAACGUCUUCGAAAACACAAACAGUCUGUAGAUAGCAAUGUCUGCACGUGGUCUGUGCGGCGCAGAAAGAAGGAUGUACGCAUAAUUUUUUUUUAGAAAAACAAACACCAUCGCUUCGUUUCAAGGCACCUAGUACUCUAUGUUAUUAAAAACUGUUAUUAUUUUUUUGUUGAAACAUAAAAAAAAAAAAAAAGUGCCAUAGAUAAGUAAGAAAAUAUAUUAGUAUGACAGUAAAUAGUAAUUUAUUAUUUAUAAAAUGUGUUGUUUAGUUUACUAUUGUAACGAGUGUAACGUGAUCACAUGAUAUCUAUGUGUUAACUCUCAUCAACUAUAAAUUUGUGUGCUAUUACAACUCAAACACAAGCAUUGUGCCCAAAGUAAACCACAAGAUUAAUUUUUGAGUAAAUUACAAAUUUUGUCAUUUAUGUUUACACCAAAUUGCAGGCGCUGUCCUUUAGCGCAAAAGUUUGCAAGUUUUGUGCUUUAUGUUUCAAAAUCUUGCAUGUUUUAACCUUUAGGCCAAACCCAGUUACAUUUUUUAGCUAAUUAUGGCCAUGUGCCAUGCACAUAAGGGUAUUCUUGUCAUUUUACUUUCUUAAGGACUAUUGAGUAAAUAACUUAAUAUUUAAGGGACUAGUUGUGUAAGAAAUAAAAAAUAAAAUAUAAAUAUUAAAAACUCUCUCUCUGACUCUCUCUCUCCCUCUCUCUCAUUCUCCUCUCCCUCUCUUCACCCAAGCAACGAACAACCUGUUUCCAUCGUAAUAGGGUACAAAUUAUAUGCACAUUUUCGUUGAUUUCCAUCGGUAGAUCAAAAGCUCUAAACCUAUUUUAGUUUACAGUAUCAUUUGUGGGCUCAAUUGGAUGGGAUUAGGAUCUAGGGUUCAUAAGUUUGUUUGGGAAUUAGGUUCGAUCAGGGCAUUAUGUUGAAUAGAAAUCCAAUUUUGUUUACAACAACGAACAGAAUGCAGCCUAAUGUUCAUAUUCACCUUGAUGGGAAUUAGGUUCAAUUCACUACAUGAUUCUGAAUGCAUGGUUGUUGUCACCGGCAAAGAUGGUCACCGGGUGGGUACGGUAGUGAUGGUUGGUGCAGUAGGGUUGGGUGGUCGGUAGGUGGGGGUGGAGGCGGUGAAGGCUGAGGGCAUACUUGGCUUCUGCUGCGGGAUCCGACGGUGGGUCGGCGGCGGGGACGGCGAAUUCAGGGCGGAGACGCUUCAGACGCCGGUAGACGAAGUCGUCAUCGUUGAUGAGCUCCCAGUCUUUUAGGAUUGGUGUAGUGUUGAAUUUUGGUGAACUGUGGAGAUUUGGAUUUGAAUUUGGAAAGAAUUGAAGAAAAUGUCAAUCUGCAAUGAAAAGUUUGAAAACCCUUUUGGGU